AAUCCCUGUGACGAUUUGUUUUAACAUUAAAAGUAGUGGACUGAAUCAUAUUGAGGAGAAAUGGAAUCUGAGGGAUG